rnacentral:rRNA from 1 species
GAUGAACGCUGGCGGCGUGCCUAAUACAUGCAAGUCGAGCGAACAGACGAGGAGCUUGCUCCUCUGACGUUAGCGGCGGACGGGUGAGUAACACGUGGAUAACCUACCUAUAAGACUGGGAUAACUUCGGGAAACCGGAGCUAAUACCGGAUAAUAUAUUGAACCGCAUGGUUCAAUAGUGAAAGACGGUUUUGCUGUCACUUAUAGAUGGAUCCGCGCCGCAUUAGCUAGUUGGUGAGAUAACGGCUUACCAAGGCAACGAUGCGUAGCCGACCUGAGAGGGUGAUCGGCCACACUGGAACUGAGACACGGUCCAGACUCCUACGGGAGGCAGCAGUAGGGAAUCUUCCGCAAUGGGCGAAAGCCUGACGGAGCAACGCCGCGUGAGUGAUGAAGGUCUUCGGAUCGUAAAACUCUGUUAUUAGGGAAGAACAAAUGUGUAAGUAACUAUGCACGUCUUGACGGUACCUAAUCAGAAAGCCACGGCUAACUACGUG